AGCAAAUGAUGUUGGAAUGCUUCAAGAAGCGGAUAUUGGUGUUGGUAUUAGUGGUGUUGAAGGAAUGCAGGUAUGUGGUAAACAGAUUAUUCUCUGUUUUACCUGUAAUUACAAUUUGUUAAUCAGUUUUGCUUUAUAUAUAUUCUGAAUUCUCCACUUUGGGGACUUUCCAAAACUUCAGGCAGUCAUGUCAAGCGAUUUU
rnacentral:misc_RNA from 1 species